rnacentral:pre_miRNA from 1 species
AGGAGGGAGGAGAUGGGCCAAGUUCCCUCUGCCUGGAACGCCCUCCCCCCCUUCUUCA